CGGUCGCACCGAGAAGCCCCUAGAACAAAAACCGAAUUUUCUCGAUUGUUCUCUCCUGAUUAUUGGGAUCACCCAGAGGCAGUUGUAGUCUGUUUCAUGUUGUUGCUGCUGAGAAAAAACACGCGCAAGCCAUUGCUGGUUUACCACUGAGCAAAUAUUAAUAGUAUAUUUCAAAACUUUGCUUAAAUGCGUGGAAUAGCUGCAUUAUUACCUGUGAAAUACAAAUUGAAACAAGUCUUCCCUGCUUCGGGAUCAUGGGGCACCGUGGCUACUUCAACUCCGAAGAAACAAGAAAAUCAUGAUUUUGCUGAAGAAAGACGACUUUUCGGUGAGAAGGCAGAUCCAAUUGUUGCCUUUAGUAGACCUCCGCCACUCCCACCUGUUUUUGGACCGCUGGUUGCUCUCUCACUGUUCCAAAUGUUGCCGAACCAUGAUGAUGGUGACGAUAACUGACUGAUGAUGCAAAGCUAUAGAUUUUAUGUACAUAAGAACCUUAGUAAGUGUUCUCUUACUGAAAGUAUUUCUUAUGAAUGUGGAGUAGGAUGUUUAGUGCCAAGGCAAAUAAUCGAGCCACGAAAUUCCAAAUCCUGAUGUACCCUGAUAGAAGUGGAUUGAUAAUAGGUGCAUAAAGUCUAGAGUAAAUCUUCAUAAAGAAUUGCACUAUGACAUGAGGACUCUUUAGGAACCCUGCAAAAAAGUAAGUAUUGCAAGUAAUAUGGUUAUCUUGCUGUGUUGUUUUGUACUAGUUGCUAUUUGUUGAAGUGUUAAUGAAUGUUAACUUACAAUCUGCAAACUUUGGGAAAUCAUCGAACAUUCCAGUCACAUUUUUUAACAGAACCUGAAGGAAAACAAAUAUUAAAGUCAGUUAUUGAGUUGGGACAAGAAUUGUUAUAUUCUUAUGUAAAACAAUUGUACUUACCAGCACCAUGCCUCCUGGUUUUAUAGGUGAUUCGACCACAACCCGAGCUUUCCUGCAACAAAGUACUAAUUAAUGAUAAGGUUUUGUUUCCUAACAAAAUUGGAUUUUAAAUUUCAAACAUUUUAUUUUUAUUAAUUUGGUAGGUACUUGAUAACUAGUCUGUCCCCUUCUUGUGAGCAUUCGUAAAAGCUGCAUCCCCUGGUGAAAGUGGAGAAACGAAGGAACAGUCUUCAAAGCAACAGUCAUCUGAAAUAUACUCAUCUAGUUCCUUCAAUUUUUUUUCAUUAAUACACGCAAAGAACUGCUUGAUCAGACUUGCUGCAGAUAGCUGAUUUAAUGUAAUAUCUUCACUAUCUGAAGCUGAUGGCACGGGAAAUUUGCACCUUCGAGUCUGCCUUCUGAAGCCGAUUUGAUACUGCUGUAUCUUUGUGUUUUUCUGAGAUGAUCGUUUAAAUGGCAUGUAGCCUGGCUUGAUGCUAGAUGCUAUUUUGGAGCAGAUGGUCUGCUGUGGGAUUUGACAUGAAAAAAUGACAGUAGAAGCCAUUUCCUGCAAACAGAAGAAGAUGGGGAAGUGGACAGCGAGCUUAGGAAAUGUAAUGUAACGAGGAGGGGUAAUAAGAUUGAAUCAAAAUAUGAAAGAACUGAGCAAGGAAUAAAGUAAUCAUUGUUUGAGACUUGGCUGGAAA